UGUGGUUUGUUCCUUUGCACUUUGACCUUUGUGUUUCUGUAACAUGAUGAAAUUUAAUUAUGGGUUCUCUUCUGCUUCCUAGAGGUUUCAUUGGAUUUCUGGGCACGUGUAAGGAACCAUGUGAAGACUGAUGAGGAAGAAACGGUUCCUCUUGGAUUCUCAUUAGUAAUGACAUGGCAAUGAACGAGCCCACCUGCAGAGCCAUUGGGAAAUCAACCUCACACACCUGCUUGACUGCACUGAUGACAAGCUGUAGCUGUGUAAAGGUGCAAGAGUAAAAUUGCCGGCAUCUGUCGACUGCCAGACGUCCACCAGCCAAUGUUCCCUGCCAAAACAAAUUGACCACAUAUCCUGCCAUUGUAUGCGUUUGAUCCACACCAGACCGUAGCAUUGUUUUUCAUUCAGAACAAAAU